AUUUUUACCAUCAAAUGUAGAGAAAAAGGCAAGAAUCAGCAAAGUUCUAGUAUGCUUAGUUAUAAUAAAAGUAUCAGUGCCUCUUAAUGGUACAAAGGUUGUCUCUCUGCAUUGUGCAUACAUUUGUAUCUGAAUCCAUAAUCCUAAUCGAUCAUCAUCACUUUUGCUGGAAUGACCGAAGGAGGUCAUUCAAUGUAAUUAAGAUAGGAAGAAAAAUGUUACAAGAAAAGUUUUACAUCGACAGCUGGCUGUCGAGGAAGGAUGUGCACCAGAGCACACGCCCCGAACCAUAUGCCAACCGCCCAAACACACGCUACAGAGAGGGAAGCCAAGCACCGAACCGGCCAUCGCUAUGCGAGACCGAUCGCCACCGGGCCAACAACACCACCACGACACGAAUACUCUAAAACGACGCCUUCACGAGGGUUGCGACGCCGAAAGACGCCGUCGUCAUCCGUCCAAGGAAUUGGACAAGGUUUUCACCCAGAGCUCCUUGCCGAGGGAGGAUGGGUACCUCAACAGUGCCCUCAGGAGGGUUACCACGCCUGAAGGCGAAGUCACUGUUGGCCCAAAGAAAUUGGGCUAAGCUUUCGCUCAGAACCCCCUACCGCCGUGGUCCGUCGCCCAAUCCGAAACCACCAUCUAAACAUCGGCGGCACAUGGCUUCCGCCACACUUGACCGACGCCCCUCCGCUGGCCAGCUUCCAGUCCUGCCAACAACAGGACUGCCACCACACAGCACCGACGCCCCACCAUCGACUGACUUCAACGAACCUCCAUCCCUGAGAACUGGCCCAGGACCCUUCCGAUCCACCACCCGCCAGUCUCCUCGCCAAUUCUGCCCAAAGGAGAACCCUGGACUGGGUGGCAUUGCUUCAGCAACCUGGGCUUCCCCCGUUGACAAGCUGCCGCCUCAAUCUAACCUAGAAACUCCCCACAAAGAAGGGGAGGAGCUCCAAGAAGGGCGAGGGUGCCGACCGGCAACGAGGAAGACGACCCACUGCCGCCAGCUCCCUUUGCACUACCAUCUAGGCCUGCGCCGACGCCGGAAACGCUGCCGCUCCGUCUCCGGCGCCACCUUUGUCCAGCCUCCUUGCCUCACCUAGCCACGCAUAGGCCACCACGGCGACGAGGGAGCUCAGCCGCAUUGCUCAGCGCUGGUGAUAGCCACCCCGCACACGCCUGGCCGUACGCGUGCUGCCGGCCGCCGCAGCGCCUCCACCACGGUGCUGGCCUCCGCAGCCGCCAGCCUCCGCCGUCGCCGGCCAGCCACCUCCGCACGAGCUCCGCCGCUGCACAGCGGAAGCCACCUCCGCGCGCCUCCGUCGGCCGCCGUCGCCGCGAGCUGCCACCACCUCCCCUCGCCGGCCGCAGCCGACGCGCUGCCCGCCUCCACUGGCAGCCGGACGCAGAGCACCGUCAUCGGCCACAUCCGCGCCCGGGGGGGUCGGAUCCGUCUCCGGCGUGCCCGGAUCCGUCGCAGCCACCUCCAUCGACCGCCGCCUCCGUCGACCACCGCCCCGUCGACGCUGCUCCGCCUCCAACGCCGAGGAAGGGCUCCCCGAGGAUGUUCUCCCCGCCGCCGCCUUCCCGGCCGGCCGCGCGGUUUCCGGCGGCUGGCUCCGGCGGCGGCGAGGCGGCUAGAGGCCGGCGAGGUGGCGGCGCGGGCGGCUAGGGUUUUCUCCCCCGAGCCGCCCGCGUGAGGGCGACGUGAGGGUCACCAUCGAUCAUCAUCACACAACUUUAGUACCAUAUAUGUGCUGAAUGAAAGCAGGAUAGAAAUAAAUUGGCAUUUUUGUUAUCAACAUAGCUAUUGUUAGGUUCCUUGAAUACUGAAAGUUCAUACUUUGAUCUUCAGAUAAUGGUGAGUAAUUUCUUCUGAAUGCUCUUCAAUUACAAAAUAAAAAAUUAAGUUACUCUGAUACUCAAAUUUUUACAUGGUUACUUUUUUCUUUGUUGUGCAUUGUGAACCCCUGUUAGUAACUUAUAACCAUUGAAAUAUCUUAUACAAAUGGUAGUCAGUGAGCAAGUCAGUCAAAAAAUAAUCUCCAUAUAUGUUCCAGCAAAUACUUGGGCUGCCCAAGUCCGUUAGUUCUUGUCCCUUGCACAUGUUCACACUAGUCCAAGAUGUGAAUCCGAUCUUGUACUUUGGUUUUCUCUUCCCUCGUUUCACAGACUAGUACCACGGCCACCAAGAAAAUAGUGGAAAGCAGAACUAUUGAUCUUUAAAUUGUGCAAACUUACUCUGCAGAAGAUAUCUGCGGGAGAAUUAAAAUUGAACACUUUGAAAGUAUAAUAUAUAGCCACAGGUAAUGAAUUGAAAAUUCUGAAAGCAUUUUCUAAGAAACAAAUUUAGAGAGAAAGAUAUUGUACUAGACAGGAAUAUCCAAAAAUGUUCAGAUAUUGAACAUUUCAUUCUCAAAGAGAAGUAUCUGACUGUCAUUACUGAAAAACAUAUUACGAAACAUGCACAUGUUUCUAGGAAAAAAAUUACUGGCCAUGUAAAAUUUGAUAUUAUUCUUCUUUCAACAUCAAUAUUUGUUUAUUUUAAACAAAUACUGUAAAGUGCUAUGUUCCGCUUUCUUCAUAAUAAAAAGUCGCCAAAUCUAUUCUUAGUUCAUGUGGUCUCUGCACAUCUUGCAGUAUUCAAAAUUGAAGAGUGAAGAUAACAUCACCAGCAUUGUACUUUCAGCACCCUAUUCAUCUGGAUGGGUUGGGAUUGGUUUCUCAAAUGACGGAAAGAUGGUUGGGUCAAGUGCUAUGGUUGGCUGGAUUGAUAAUCAAGGGAGAGCAUACAUCAAGCAAUACUACUUAAGUAAUCAGACUAGCUCAGGAGUUAAAGUAGAUGAAGGCAAGUUGCUCACAACAGACGUUCCUUCUGCAGCUGUGCUCUAUGGAGACAAUAUUUACUUAGUAUUUCAAGUCAAAUUCCCUCUUCACAUUGCUCGACAGUCCGUAAUUUUGGCUUUUUCGAAGAUAUCACCAAAUAAGUUCCACCUCGCAGAACAUGAUGACAAAACGACUCUGUCUUUUGACUUCUCAUCAGGAAUUUGAACUCCAUCACAGGAAACCGUUGUUCUACAGGAGUGGAGUAAUUUUUACAUGCAAUAAAUGGGGCCUUCACAUAAAUGGCUAAAUUCCUGGGGUGUUUGAUAGCAGACAGCAAAGGAAUAGGGUGAUUCUGUUAGUACUUAUUAUCCAUACCAAUUGAAGAGGAACCAUGGUGCAUUUGCAAUUUUUGGCUGGGGUGUUCUGGUACCACUGGGAGCAAUUGCUGCUCGUUAUCUCAGACAUAAGGACCCACUUUGGUAUUACCUUCAUGUCCUCGUGCAAUUUCUUGGUUACAUCAUUGGGUUUGCGGGUGUUGUUUCUGGCAUUGCAUUGUACAACAGGACCUAUUCAAAUUUUACUACGCAUAGAAGCCUUGGCAUUUCAGUUCUUGCUCUCGGUUCUCUUCAGGUUAUUGCAUUUUUCCUUCAUCCUAAUAAGGAUUCUCAGGUGCGGAAAUGUUGGAACCAGUACCACCAUUGGUUAGGUAGGAUUUGUAUUUUCUUGGCAGCCAUUAACAUUGUUCUUGGUAUUGAGUUAAGUGACACCAACAUCUCAUGGAAAGUGAUUUAUGGAGCUAUAAUAUCUGUUAUGAUAAUCAGUACCACAUUUCUGGAGGUCAUGAUGUGCACUAAGUUGCCCAAGGAAGGCACAUGUAACGGUGGACUCCAAAUGCCAACUCAUCAUCCCAAUUCUUAAAAAUAGAGAUGUUAACACAAUUGAUUUUUAACCUUGUUUCUGAUAUGAUCUCAAUUCUUUUAGUUUUUGGUGAUUUUGUUUACUGGUUUGGGAAAUAGGCAGCCUUCUAGAACCAUUUUUGUUGAUACAUGCCAAUGUGUUUUUGAUAGUUUUCCUCCUGUAAUGAAGAAGAGUGUUUUUUUUUAGAAAUCAGUUUCUUCACUCUAUGGUUAACAACAACUUAACAUUCUAACCAUAAUUGUUAGAGACUGCACUCGUUCAA